ACCCCACGAUAGGCGCCGCCUCCUCGCGGUGUGGGGUGGGCAACUACUCCUUGUGGAGUAGGCUAAGCGCGUCU
rnacentral:ribozyme from 1 species